UCCCCUAGAAUGAACACCGUUCGCACAACAACCGCAUAAGUGCGUGACUGGGGGAAGCCGGUGGGAAUCCGGCGCUGACCUGCAACCGUGUGCGGCCGUGGGCCGCGAGUCGGGCUGCCCGGCACGUGCUGGAACCGCUUC
rfam:Streptomyces griseofuscus strain NG1-7 NG1-17_1_1, whole genome shotgun sequence.